GUGGAAGUCAGUGGUUCCAGCUAAUGAAAACCACUUUUAACUGAAUGGCGCAUUAACCACAUCACCCCUCCACAGUUUGCCUCUGGCUUCCUGUUACGGUAGAGGUAGAGAGGAGUGUAGGACAGCUUCCUCACAGAGGAUUUUGCAGUUGAAUCUUUUCGGUGCAUCGGUGAAGGUAAAAGGGUACUCCGGUUUCCUCCCACAGUCCAAAGACAUGCAGAUGAAUGCAGAGGAAGACCUUGCCUGGUGGAAGAGAAAGAAAUAGUUGCAUGAUAUAGGGCCACUUUUAAAGACAGUAAACAUAGUCCAUUGUGGUGUACUGAACCUCAAGAAACUCAACUCAGGUU